AAUAGAUACCCCGGUAGUCCACGCCGUAAACGAUGGAUGCUAGCUAUUGGGGGGAAUCGACCCCCUCCGAAGCGAAGCUAACGCGUUAAGCAUCCCGCCUGAGUAGUACGAGCGCAAGCUUAAAACUCAAAGGAAUUGACGGGGGACCCGCACAAGCGGUGGAGCGUGUGGUUUAAUUCGAUGGUAAACGAAGAACCUUACCAAGGUUUGACAUCCCGGUAGCCGUUCUCCGAAAGGAGAAUUUCAUUUAGUUGGACCGGUGACAGGUGAUGUAUGGCCGUCGUCAGCUCGUGUCGUGAGAUGUUGGGUUAAGUCCCGCAACGAGCGCAACCCUUAUGAUUUAGUUGGAUUUUUCUAAACAGACUGCCCUGGUAACAGGGAGGAAGGAGGGGAUGAUGUCAGGUCAGUAUUUCCCUUACACCUUGGGCGACACACGCGCUACAAUGGCCGGUACAAUGGGCAGCUAAGCCGCGAGGUGGAGCAAAUCCCAUCAAAGCCGGUCCCAGUUCGGAUUGCAGGCUGAAACCCGCCUGCAUGAAGCCGGAAUCGCUAGUAACC
rnacentral:rRNA from 1 species